rnacentral:rRNA from 1 species
AGUAACACGUGGAUAACCUACCCUUAGAACCGGAAUAACCCCGGGAAACUGGGGAUAAUACCGGAUAAACCAUAGACGCUGGAAUGCCCUAUGGUUCAAAGCUCCGGCGCCUAAGGAUGGAUCUGCGGUCUAUCAGGUUGUAGUGGGUGUAACGUACCUACUAGCCGACGACGGAUACGGGUUGUGAGAGCAAGAGCCCGGAGAUGGAUUCUGAGACACGAAUCCAGGCCCUACGGGGUGCAGCAGGCGCGAACACUUUACAAUGCGGGAAACCGCGAUAAGGGAACCCCGAGUGCCAGUAUCUAAUACUGGCUGUCCUUGUGCCUAAAACGCACAAGAUAGCAAGGGCCGGGUAAGACCGGUGCCAGCCGCCGCGGUAACACCGGCGGCCCGAGUGGUAGCCGCUAUUAUUGGGUCUAAAGGGUCCGUAGUGGUUCGAUAAGUCCUCUGGGAAAUCUGGUUGCUUAACAAUCAGACUGCCAAGGGAUACUGUCGAACUUGAGACCGGGAGAGGUAAGAGGUACUUCAGGGGUAGGAGUGAAAUCUUGUAAUCCCUGGGGGACCAUCUGUGGCGAAGGCGUCUUACCAGAACGGGUCUGACGGUGAGGGACGAAAGCUGGGGGCGCAAACCGGAUUAGAUACCCGGGUAGUCCCAGCCGUAAACGAUGCUCGCUAUGUGUCAGGUACGGUGUGACCGUAUCUGGUGC